rnacentral:rRNA from 1 species
AAUAUUAGUUAAGGUCUUUAAACCCAAAGAAUUUGGCGGUAUUUUAUUCCACUUAGAGGAACCUGUCUUGUAAUUGAUAGUACACGAUUAACUUUACUUAAUUUAUUUGUUUGUAUAUCUCCGUUAUCGGAAAAUCUUUUUGGAGUGUAAAUUUUCUUGUUUUUAUAUUAAAAGUUCUUUCAGGUCAAGGUGCAGCUUAUAGUUAAGAUUAUGAUGGGUUACAAUAAAUUUUUGUUUAUUAUGGAUUUAAUUAUGCAAUUUUUUAAUAAAGGUGGAUUUAAUAGUAAUUUAAUUUAUUUAAUUUAAUUGAUAUUGGCUCUGAAAUGUGU